CUACGGGCUGCUGCAGUAAGGAAUAUUGCGCAAUGGAGGCAACUCUGACGCAGCCAUGCCGCGUGCAGGAAGAAGGCCUUAUGGGUCGUAAACUGCUUUUAUUUAGGAAUAAACCUCCGAACGUGUUCGGGGCUGAAGGUACUAAACGAAUAAGCACCGGCUAACUCCGUGCCAGCAGCCGCGGUAAUAGGGAGGGUGCAAGCGUUAUCCGGAUUUAUUGGGUUUAAAGGGUGCGCAGGCGGGCUAUUAAGUCAGUGGUGAAAUCCCGGGGCUCAACUCCGGAACUGCCAUUGAUACUGAUAGUCUUGAGUUUGGUUGAAGUGGGCGGAAUGUAGCAUGUAGCGGUGAAAUGCAUAGAUAUGCUACAGAACACCAAUCGCGAAGGCAGCUCACUAAGCCAAAACUGACGCUCAUGCACGAAAGCGUGGGGAUCAAACAGGAUUAGAUACCCUGGUAGUC
rnacentral:rRNA from 1 species